UACGGAAGGCAGCAGUAGGGAAUCUUCCGCAAUGGGCGAAAGCCUGACGGAGCAACGCCGCGUGAGUGAUGAAGGUCUUCGGAUCGUAAAACUCUGUUAUUAGGGAAGAACAAACGUGUAAGUAACUGUGCACGUCUUGACGGUACCUAAUCAGAAAGCCACGGCUAACUACGUGCCAGCAGCCGCGGUAAUACGUAGGUGGCAAGCGUUAUCCGGAAUUAUUGGGCGUAAAGCGCGCGUAGGCGGUUUUUUAAGUCUGAUGUGAAAGCCCACGGCUCAACCGUGGAGGGUCAUUGGAAACUGGAAACUUGAGUGCAGAAGAGGAAAGUGGAAUUCCAUGUGUAGCGGUGAAAUGCGCAGAGAUAUGGAGGAACACCAGUGGCGAAGGCGACUUUUCUGGGUCUGUAACUGACGCCGAUGUGCGAAAGCGUGGGGAUCAAACAGGAUUAGAUACC
rnacentral:rRNA from 1 species